UACGUAGGGUGCGAGCGUUGUCCGGAUUUAUUGGGCGUAAAGAGCGUGUAGGCGGCUAAAUAGGUCCGUUGUGAAAACUCGAGGCUCAACCUCGAGAUGCCGAUGGAAACCAUUUGGCUAGAGUCCGGAAGAGGAGAGUGGAAUUCCCGGUGUAGCGGUGAAAUGCGCAGAUAUCGGGAAGAACACCCGUGGCUAAGGCGGCUCUCUGGGCAAUUCCUGACGCUGAGGCGCGAAAGCGUGGGGAGCAAACGGG
rnacentral:rRNA from 1 species